AUGUCUUCUGACAGGACUACCGUCAUGUCGUUAGUACUUCAGGUGCAAUAAAUAUCUGUAUGGAUCCGCAUUCCCUGACCGUGCUCGUGAACCUUAUUUUGCAAUUCCUGAAAUUGAAAUAAGGUCACCGUUUAAUAGAAUUCAAGAGAAAAGAAAACAAAUGACAUGUUUAUGUUCAUCAACGCCAUUUGUUCAUUAGGGAUAUGUUGUUUACACAAAAUUGUUUUAAAUCUUAUCUCCUGGGAUUUGCUCAAUGGCCGAGGGCAAAUCGCAGCUGCAGCACGUUGUCUCGUUAUUAUCACCCAGUAAGGCCUGAAAGGACAAAUAUGCUACCUGCCUUUGUAUAUAUCGACAGGUUUUAACGUAGCAUCAACGAAUACAGUGAGAAAUGGCAGCUGCAGCGUGUGCCUCGUUGGAGGAAACAGAGAGCUUCAUAACAUGUAGUAUUUGCUUGUGUGAAUUUGAUGCAGAAUUCAGGAAGCCCAAAUUUUUGCCUUGUGCUCACACUGUUUGCCUUAAAUGUUUAGAGGAGAUUCACAAAAAUUUUGUCAUAGCUUGCCCACUCUGUCGAAAAGAGUUCUCGUAUCAGGACAAUGUCACAUGCCUUCCCAACAACUCUUAUGUGCUGCACAUGCUAAGGUUAACAGAAAAAAAUGCAGAACCUGCAAGUAAACCUGAUCUAGAGGGGAAACCUACAUGGUGCCUCACAUGUGGUGCCGUGGCUAAACAAAGCUGUUCUGUUCAUUCCAUUAUUGAUGUUACAGCCAACACAAUCAAGAAUUUUGAAUCACUCUUGAAUCUCAGAGAUGAUCUCAAGAAAAUGAGGGAUCAAGGCCAAACAAAAUUAGCCUUGGCCAUUGAAAAGAGAAAAGAAAUUCAGACCCAUUUUCAGCAACUAUCUCAGUCAUUGAAAUUGGUUUUGCAUGAAGUCACUGUACAAGAAGAUCAAAAUAAUCUCCUUCUUGUUGAAAUGAUUUCUCAACUAGAGGCGAACAGUCCUCAAUUACGAUCUCGCCUUUCAUCCUCCGAAAUGAUAACAGGACAAGACGACCAAGAUCCUAUUUUAUCCGAAUUGAUGUCUGUAGUCGAUGGUUCCAAACCAGAAGAUAGUUUUGAAAUUCUCAAAGAAAAAAUGAAGAAAACUCUCCAGUCCUACGAGAGCAAGCUGGCCGAAGCAGUUGCCAUGGCCAAGUCUAUCACGUAUCAAAAGAAGAGCAUAAUAUCUGUUUGGCUUACUGACUCCAACAAUCAAGCCAUUCCCACAUGGGACUUGCUGGAAUCGGGGUUCAACACGUAUUGGCCAAAUGACACCUGUUUGUCGCCAACAAAACGCGAUUUUCUGCUUUUGUCUCACAUCGUGUUUUCUAUACAAAAGAGGGGACAGAAGAUAAACAAACAAUCAAAUUCAGAUUUCUCUGCUGUGUCCUCCAAGGCGAAACCUGUUGCGACCAAAUUAGGUGAACCUAGUUCCUUAGUGAAGACUGAAAGUUCCUUAGUGAAGACUGAAAAUACUAAUACAACGGUCAAGUUGGAUCCCUCAACCGAAAAAUUUGAUCUCAACAAGUCGACAUUGGUAGUGGUUGUCCGUCGACACGGCACUUUAAAGGGCGCUGUCCAUAUCAGGCUGUCCUCUAGCUGUGAUUCACCAUUCAUGCAGCAAUUGGGUAAAAUCUGCUUCCACUCGUCGAAACAAUUUAGCAAUGCCAUUGGAAAAACUGUUCCCGAUGUGUUUCUCUUGCUUCCGGCCUGUAAGGACCUGGCGGAUUUUUCCUACAACGGGUUGACUGGUCUUCCGCCUACACGCCACUACAUGGAAGCCGGAAUAUCUUUGUGUCCGGAUGAAAAGGGCGUUUUUAAUAGCUGGAAUUUAGUUUUUGCUCUUCGGCAUUUUGAGCAGAAAAAGAACGAGAUGCACUUGAAAACUAUCCAGCCCAUCCAUUUUAUUGGCCAAGUGACAGAGGGCAUAGAUGUUAUCGAAAUGCUCAGUUGGACGACCAAGCACCAGAGAAGUGGGUACACUUUCACUCUGGAAUCGCGUUAGUAAGCUUCCAGCACACGACUAGCGUUUAGGUGCCAAAGAGGAGCGAAUUUUAACAAAUGAAGUGAUUUUGCCAUUAUAAUUUUUGGAGGAAAUUAUGAGUUGAGAGUUUCUUCUUUUUAUUAUUCUCCUUUUUAAUGGCCAAUAGUUUAAUUUCUUUCUGCUAAUAUCUAUCUCGUAGUUUCUUGUUGCCAACCGAUAAGAUAAUCCGGCCAUUCAAAAACAAAAGCAAUAGUAAUUUUACCAAGUCUCCAAAACUUUUAAAGGCCGAAAUGUAACCAAUAGCAAAUUUGGCAAGGAAAUCAAAAGUUCUGUAGACCUAGGCUGCAAUUCCCUGCAUCCAUCCACUGGGAAGGUCACGUUGAAUUUAAGCUAUAGCGUUUGGGCUUCUUUUUGAGGCGAUAAAGGAAUUGGCGGCCAGUAAACUGUUGACAGUGAUGAUUAAAAGGCCACAAAUUGCCAUACAGAAAUCCAAGGCAACUCUGUUACCUGAAAAAUCAAGGUGUUUUUAGUUUAAGAGCCCAAGUCCACAUUUGUGUUUUCCGAAAAAAUAUUAAGGAUUCAAUAUCGUACAUAAUUUCAAUCCAUAGACUAUCGUGGGAAUCAACUUGCAAUUGUGGAGUAAUCCUUGAUUGCUUCUAAGGCUCUUUGAGUAAGAAAUCAGUAGCGUGAUACCAAUCAACGAAGCCUUCACUGCCAUUCCAAUGAUGAUUCUCUUGGUUUUCAGCCUGUAAACAUAGUUUGUGUAAAACAACAUAGCACUUACAGGCUUUAAGAUGCUCACGUGAAACUCACUUUUUACUGAUGAGAAAAAGAGCAAAUACGACCAGGAAGAUUGCUCCCCAGAUCUCUACAGAAGCACCGCUUGAAGCCGUGAAGCCUAAGAUGACGAAAAGACCCAAGAAUAGGUUACUUAUUGCAAGAACAGUCUCCAUAUGAAGAAAACGAUCAGAUCUGUGCAGAAAUUGGUCAAUUCAUUCAUCGAACGGAAAUGGGUGUUCUGUAAGUGCCAUUCCCAAACUGAAAAACGAAUCUAUACUGUGUAUGGUAUGUAGACUAAUGAGCUCAUAGAUGAAAGGAAGUGAAUCAGCUAAAGUGAUAACGAGAAGGUCGUGAGUACUGUAAAGUCAGCAUGAUGUUAAAUCGCUGAUAAGGAGGAAAACAAAACCAGAAAGGUAAAAUAAUCAUGCGCGAAAAGUAAAGAAUUGGCGCCAACCGCUAGGUGGCUUCCGGGGUUCUCGCAACGUGUUCGAGCAAUUCAACUUGUGAAAUUUUGUAGUCCACAGACUCUACACGAGAACGUGUAAAGUCAAUCAUUAUUUGAUUUGUUUGAAAGGCACUGCAAGGUUUCGAUGUAUUCUUGACAAUGAAUAUAUAUUUAGUAAACAGAAGUCAAAUGCAAUAAUAAAGGCACAAACAAUUCAGGCAGUUUAAGAGAGACGUUUCAAUGGGUGUAGAACUACCACUAGAAGGGGUGGACGACCCACGACGUGAGUUUGUUUGAAAAGAUAAAUGUCUACGGACACUAGCUGCAUUGCUGCUGGUAGCUGACGAAACGGUGGCUGUAUCGUCAUCUGCCGAACAACUGUAGUUGAUGUUACAGUGCAUGGCAAAACCUUUCGUUAGAACGGCGUUCUUGCAACGCUAUUCGUUGAUUUUUAGUCCGUUUUUUUAGUUUGCAGUUUGUCACCGGAGUCUUGCUUACCGUGUAUUGCCAUAUGUUUUGCAGUUUACGUUUGCCGAGCAUUGUAAAGAGGCAAAGAAAAAAGUAUUUCAAACACACAGAUGCUAAGGA